CCGCGGUAAUACGUAGGUGGCAAGCGUUAUCAGGAAUUAUUGGGCGUAAAGCGCACGUAGGUGGCUGAAUAAGUCGGAUGUGAAAGCCCUGGGCUCAACCUGGGAAUUGCAUUCGAUACUGUUCGGCUAGAGUACGGUAGAGGGUAGUGGAAUUCCCGGUGUAGCAGUGAAAUGCGUAGAGAUCGGGAGGAACAUCCGUGGCGAAGGCGACUACCUGGACCAGCACUGACACUGAGGCACGAAAGCGUGGGGAGCAAACAGG
rnacentral:rRNA from 1 species